rnacentral:rRNA from 1 species
CCUACGGGAGGCUGCAGUGGGGAAUAUUGGGCAAUGGGCGCAAGCCUGACCCAGCAACGCCGCGUGAAGGAAGAAUGCUUUCUGGUUGUAAACUUCUUUUAAGAGGGAAGAGCAGAAGACGGUACCUCUUGAAUAAGCCACGGCUAACUACGUGCCAGCAGCCGCGGGAAUACGUAGGUGGCAAGCGUUGUCCGGAUUUAAUGGGUGUAAAGGGCGUGCAGCCGGGAAGACAAGUCAGAUGUGAAAUCCCGCGGCUCAACCGCGGAACUGCAUUUGAAACUGGUUAUCUUGAGUACCGGAGAGGUCAUCGGAAUGCGUUGUGUAGCGGUGAAAUGCGUAGAUAUAAGGAAGAACACCAGUGGCGAAGGCGGAUGACUGGACGGCAACUGACGGUGAGGCGCGAAAGCGUGGGGAGCAAACGGGAUUAGAUACCCUUGUAGUC